rnacentral:rRNA from 1 species
AGUUCGGAUUGUAGUCUGCAACUCGACUACAUGAAGCUGGAAUCGCUAGUAAUCGCAGAUCAGAAUGCUGCGGUGAAUACGUUCCCGGGUCUUGUACACACCGCCCGUCACACCAUGGGAGUCGGAAAUGCCCGAAGCCGGUGACCCAACCAAAAGGAGGGAGCCGUCAAAGGCAGGUCUGAUAACUGGGGUGAAGUCGUAACAAGGUACC